rnacentral:tmRNA from 1 species
GGGGCUGAUUCUGGAUUCGACGGGAUUUGCAAAGCCCAAGGUGCAUGCCGAGGGGCGGUUGGCCUCGUAAAAAGCCGCAAAAAAAUAGUCGCAAACGACGAAAACUACGCUGUAGCAGCUUAAUACCCUGCGUAUAGCCCUCUCUCCCUAGCCUCCGCUCUUAGGACGGGGAUCAAGAGAGGUCAAACCUAAAAAGAGAUCGCGUGGAUGCCUUGCCUGGGGUUGAAGCGUUAAAUCUAAUCAGGCUAGUUUGUUAGUAGCGUGUCUGUCCGCAGCUACCAGGCGAAUGUAAAGACUAGACUAAGCAUGUAGUACCGACGGUAGAGUAAUUCCGGACGGGGGUUCAAAUCCCCCCAGCUCCACCA